UGCACAUAAGUGAAAUGAUUUCAUAGAUUGAGCGUAUCGAUACAUACAUAUAGUUGCAUACAAACUAGUCAGGCAAUUUAUGGUCCAUGGAAAAAACAGAUAGGAUUACAUCUAAAAGAAGAGUAGAAAUAUCUCGCUUUGGUGACUUGCCUAUCCUCCAACUUAUCCUCCUCCAAAUGAGCUGGACUAUCAACCUCAACUCUAGAGGAAGCCUCACUGAUAUCUUGUCGAGUAAGUUUUUCUGUCAGGUACAUUUCAGCCAUAUCCAUUUCGUCAUCCAGUAGAUGCUCAAGCUCGUCCCUCACCUGAAAAAAAAAUAUCAACGUGGAAUAUGCUGUACAGAAGAGUGAAGUGAAUAAGCAUUUGCAAGGAUAGAAUAGAUAUAGAAGGAGCCGGUGAGAUGUGUGUAUGGUGAAGGUGGAGUGCAGGUUUGGGUGGUUUGGGGAAAUUCACAUAGUUAUGGAGCUCAACCAAAUAUUGACAUCAAAAGUAGCCAACAGAACGAAACAACAAAUUAUGUCUAACGACACCUUCCUAUGAUACAGAGGCAGAAGAAAUUGACAUGAAAUAGAUCGAAUCCUCAAACAAGUUAAAUUGCCUACCUUCUGCACGCGACCAGAGAUUGCCACCAGCCGGCUCUUAAUUUGCCUGACUCGCUCAAGAUUUAGUGUACUGAUCUUGGAAGUUAGCUCAUCCAAUGCUGGAUAUGCCUCUUUCUCCAGAGUCACGGUCUGAAAAAAGGAGGACAGUCACUGUCUACAACUACAAGUAGAUCACUUUCUGUUUAUUGUGAGAACUACUGAUAUCUCAAAAGGCAAUUUGUAAACUACUGUAUACUAGUAUCUUAAAUGCAAUAAUAUUAAAGAAAACAGAGAACAGUCAAAAGACUAUUCAGAUAGAUAGCUUAAGUUUAGUUUAAAACAAAAACAGAUAGAUAGCUUAAGGGCAGCUUCUACAAGAAGCACGGCUCCAUCUAUCUACAAGUACAAUUUAAACCAGCACUUUCCCAGAUUUUUUGAGAAGCCAGGAUUUACAAGUAAAAAUUGCUCCAACAAGGCCUCAAGUUCCUCUAAUGAGCCCAUGUCAAGAAAUUAUCCAACAACCUAUGUGACAACAAUGAUUCAGGUAUCAAACAAGCCAUAAUGUGAACCAUAACAGGCUAGAACAUGCUAUCCUAAGAUGGCAGAUAAAUUAAUCCAGUUAUAUUCAAAUAUCUUGAACCAAAAUUUACAGAUAUAAGAUGAAACACGUACUUCUUCUUCCAGAGAUCUACAGGAUGACUCAAGGCAAACUUCAAGAGCACGGAAUUCAAAAGGUAAAACCUUGGUGCUUCCAUCUUUCACUGCAGCCAAUGUGGGUACACUGCUGCUGUGAGUCAUUUCAAUUUCACCCAAUGAAAUAGGAGUCUUCUUAGUCAUGUCCAGUUCAUGAUCUUUAGAUGAAUUAGGGGCAGGAAGUGGUGAAGCAACUGCAGACGAGCCAACCUCCAUAUCAGUAAACUCCGCAGCCUAUUAAAAGAAGAAGAAGAAAAGUCACAUAUCAAUACAACCCUUCUAUCACAAUUAAGUGAAUUCACAAUAUUGCCUUUGCUAACAUGCACAUAAGCGUCUCAUAAGCAUCGGUGCCUAAUCAAGCACUCAUGCUUCAAAAUAAGCACCAAUGCCAUCUUACGUGGCAAGAAAAAUCUUUUCAUUUUGGCAAGCACCUCUCUAAGCACUUCUAAAAUGGGGUAUAUUUUUUAAAAUUCUAUUAAAUGGGAGAAAUUGUGUCAAAAAAUAUAUUAAAAGGGGCUAAAAAAAGAAAAUCACUCUUUAGAUAAACAAUGCCCAGCACAGUUCACUUGUCUAAUCCACCCACAAUUCAGAUAUUGUACCAUGGUUACUGCUAAAUCAUGCUCCUAGAAGCAAGCAAAUGAUGAUUCGACUGCAAGACAGCGUUGACCUGGUCCGAAGUGGCAGUGAGCACGCGGGCCUGGAGGUCGCGUACGAAGCGCGCGAAGUCGGGAUCCUUGGAGUUGGGGAGCAGCACCUCGGCGGCGGUGAUGACGGCCUUGAUGCGCUCCAGGUUGACGACGAUGGCGCGCUCGCGGCCCAGGAUCGUGGACGGGUAGGACAGCAGCGGGUCGAGCACCCUCAGGUCGCGCGCCGGCAGCCCCGUCCGCGCCAUCACCGCGUGCUUCCCGGCCUCUUCCACCCGCGCCCGCCCCGUCGCCGGCACCACCAGCCACUCCCGGCUCGCCGCCGCCGCCGCCGCGGCAGCCCCGGCCUUCCUCCUCCCCCCUCCGCCGCCGCCGCCGCCCGGCCCCGUCGCCGAGGGCCUCAUCCUUUGUUGUUCCUCGAGUUACGGUUUCGACAGCGACCGUCGACGAGCGCGUGCAAGGUGGAUUGGUCGAGUGGAGGUAUGUCCGGUCGGCUGCGAGGGCAGCCAAUUUCUGCAGCACUCGGAAAGAGAAGUGUCCACGGCCGCGUGCAAUGCGCGGUUAGCUGCGGUCUUGGGACAUGUACCUCACCAGGUUCAGCCCGGGCCGGGUAUGUACCUCACCGGGUUCACCCUUGCAGCUUGUUUGGCUGGGGAUAAUUAUUUACAGAGAAUAGGAACUAAAAAAAAUACUGGAAGACUUUAAAUCUAUUACUCCCUACUUGUCAAAUUAACCGACAUGGAUUUGGAUAAGAACCUAUACAAAUCUGUGUCAGUUAAUUCGGAAUGAAGGGAGUAUAUUUAGUUGCGGGUAUUGGGAGUUUAGAAAGGAAGGAGAAAUGGAAUUAGACUACAAAACUUCCACACUUCUGUUAUGUGGGGGACGUGGUAAUUCAUGGGUGGAAGGGGGAUUGAAAUUAAAUUUCCAUUCCCCUUAUCUAAACUUGCCAAAACGCGCAGGCCAACGGUUAGGAACAUGUUUUUACCGAUUUACUCCCUUCAUUUCAAAAUAUAUCUCAUAUAGAUUUGUGCAUUUCGAUCAACACAACUCUUGUUUCUAAUGGCUGAUCAAUCCUAUUUGAUUAAUAUUUAAUAUUAAAUGAAUGUGAAUAAUUAUUGUUCGGUGCGGAUAACAAGAGAAAAAAUAGAGCAUUGUAAAACAAAUGAAAAAAAUCUACGGACUUUCUAAGCGGGGCACGUGCCCAGCCAGAUCUUAUGCAGCGGCGCGUGCCCACACCAUCCGAUCACUCUGAUCUCUCCCUCGUAUCUUUUUCCUCGCCACAACAUUCUCCCUUCUUCGCGAUCUCUCCCUCCCUCGAUCUCCCAAUCAUUUGCGCCACCGUCUCUCUCGCCCUGUCCCUCUCCAUCUUUCCUGCAGCCGCCGGCGACCGGCGUACCAUCUGCCGCCUCCCGCAACCGCCGCCUCUCUCCAUCCCUGAGUGGUUCACAGCGAGACACCGCAAAGCAGUCUUGUGGGAAUCCAAAUCGGGCUGGCGGUUAAUCAAGGAUUCGUGGUCACCGCAUGCCCCAUGGUCGUAUUGGUCGUCUUCCUGGCCGUCGGGGACGUUCCCGGCCAGCCGCCUGCGGCGGUGCAGCAGGUCGCGGAGGCGGAGCAACAUCAGGCGUGGCGGCGCAGAGAAACAACAGAUCAUGGCGGAGCAGCAGCAGGCGCGGUGGAGCGGGUGCGGGGAAGCGGCAGCAGCAGGCGGCAGAGGAGCAGCAAGGUACGGCGGCAGAGCACCAGCAGGCGCUACGGUGGUGGCAGAGCAGGAGCAAGUCGAAGCGGCGGGGGAUUGAUGUUGAUUGGGCUCUGUCGAUCAGCGUGCAUCAGACGAUGCUAAAUGGUGAUCAUUGCUUCUUGCCAUCGAUUAAUUUUGCUGCAAGUAUGAAGCCUCCUGUUGCUAUCUAUCUUGAACAAUGCUAUGGACGUUGUGUCGUUGACGGAAUGAAUUUUGGUGAGUUUAGUAAUGAACCAUGUCUUCUAUAAGAAUCAUGUCUCAUUUCGUAAUUGGUCGAUGUCAGCAAUCAAGCAUAUAUGUUUGAUGCACGGUAUAUCGUGAUGCAUUCAAUACGCUGCUUUAACAUACGCUUUAAUAUAUGCAUUGUAUAAGAUGGAACGAUUUCAUAAUGUUGUCGCUGUCUGCAUAGAUAGUGAAAUGUGUGUAUUUUGUUUUGUUAGCAUGCGUAUAACCAACCAUAAUUUUAACUAAAAAUCUCCAACUAUUGCUAAUUGAUAAGUUUGUUUUCAACCGGAAAGCAAGCCACUUAACCUGGCAAGCAGCUAGGAAUAAGCCCGGUAACUAGACGUGAAUAAUCUGACAACUAGGCGUAGUUAACCUGGCAAGUAACCUUAAGGACGUGUACAAUGGAGUGAUGUCAGCCUUCUCUUAGCGAUACCACAUAGGAUAAAAUCUGACGUGGAAGAGAGAGAAAUGAAGAAAAGACACAAGCCUUCUCUUAAUUAAGAGAUGAUCUCUUCACAAAAAUGAUAAGGCAAAGAUAAGGCAAAUUUCCCAUUGUACUAGAUUUUGCCUUUUCUUAGCAUUUAUUUAGUUAAUUUUAUUCAUCUAAGAAUUAAUUUUAAGAUAUAACAAUAAGAGAUAACCCAUUGUACAACAUGUUUUGUUGUCUUUUCUAAUUGACGUGUCACAUCUAAGAUAAGACAGUCUUAUCAACCAUUGUACAUGCCCUUGUUAACCUGGCAAGUAGACAUACUUAAUCUGGCAAGCAGGUAUGGAUAAGUCCGAUAAGUGGCAUGCAUAAUCUGACAACUGACACUGUUAAACUGGCAAGUAGGAUGAGUAUACCUGGCAAGUAGGCACAGUUAACCCAGCAAGUGUGUGCGGAUAAUCCGGCAAGUACGCAGGCCUAACCUAGCAAGUAUGCAUGGCUAACUUGGCAAUCAGUUACAGUUAACCCGGCAAGUAUGUAGGCUAACCUGGCAAGUAGGCACCGAUAACCUGGCAAACAUGCAUGCCUAACCUGGCAAGUAUGCACUGCUAACCUGGCAAUUUGGUAUCAUUAACCCGGCAAAUGUGUGUUGAUAAUCUGACAUGUAGGUCUAACCUGACAAGUAGGCACCCAUAACAUGGCAAGUAUGCAUGUCUAACCUGGUAAUUAGGUACAGUUAACCCAGCAAGUGUGUGGAUAAUCGGACAAAUAUGUGGGGCUAACCUGGCAAGUAGAGACUGGAACCUGGCAAGUAUAUGCACGGCUAACCUGGCAAUUAUAUACAGUUAACCUGGCAAGUGUGUGUGGAUAAUCCGACAAGUGUGUAGGGCUGACCUGACAAGUAGGCACCAUAAACCUGGCAAGUAUGCACCGCUAACCUGGAAAUUAGGUACAGUUAACCCGGCAAGUGUGUGUGGAAAAUCUGGCAAAUAUGUAGGACUAACCUGGCAAGUAUGCAGCUCUAGCCUAGCAAGUAGGCGGCCCGGGUAACCUUUCAAGUAUGGAGCACUAACCUCGCAAGUAGUUCCGGGUAACCUGUCAAGUAUGCAUCACUAACCUAACAAGUAGGCCCGGGUAACCUAUCAAGUAUGCGGCACUAACCUCGCAAGUAGUUCCAAGUAACCUAUCAAGGAUACAACACUAACCUGACAAUUAGGUACUGUUAACCUGGCAAGUCGGUAUGGAUAAGCCGAUAAGUAGGCGUCGAUAAAUGGACAAGCAUACACAGUUAAAUUUGCAGGUAGAUAUAAUUAACUUUGCAAGUAGACGCAGUCCAACUGCAAUUAGGUGUGGAUAAGUCGAGAAGCAGGUGAUUUUUGUGAUACAUUGCAAAUAACUAUGGAUAUGACGAUAAAUAGACAUUGAUAAACUUGCAUGUAGCCAAGUGUAAGUGGGUAUAGGUAAACCAGCUAACAAUCACAAUUAAACUGGCAAAUGUGAGUUUGUGAUACUCCUUCCGUCGCAUAAUUCUCGUUGAAAUAUUACAUGUAUCUAGACGUUUUUUAGAAAUAAAUACAUUCAUUUUUGGACAAAUUUGAGACAAGAAUUAUGGGACGGAGGGAGUACAUGUCAUUUUGUGAUUUUCCUCAGGUUCAAAUUUGUACAAAAUAGGCUUCUUCUAUGAUGUUAUGACCUGCCAUGAUUAGUACUAAAGCUUAAAGCGUAUUAAUGCUUAGUUCAUUCACGGCACAAGUGCUCAACCCAAAGGCCAAAGAGAAGGGCAACGGGGCUGGGCUGGCUGCUUGGCCGGACGAGAACAUCCUCCCUGCCGCUUGCCAUCGGACCUGCGGAAAGGCCCAACGUCUCUGGGCCAAGCUGUUUCCGCGUUUGGGCUGUGCUGUGGCGUUGCGGGGGGUUUGCUCGCGGGCGUACGCAGGGCCAGGCGAGCGGAGCAUACGUACGCGGGCGCCGUUGCGGUGGGUUACGUGGGGAACUCCGUCGUGGAGUCCAGUCCAAAAAUCUAUACGAUGUGUAUAUUUUGAAAUGGAAGGACUCAAGCAAAAGUACAUGAUCGUGACGAUGUCUGUAAGAACGGCCAGUAAACCACGUCUUUCCGGAGACCAACAAAUCCUUCCACAUUCCCAGUUUUCCCCCCUUCGCCGCCGCUGUCCCUGGACAAUAAUGCCGGCGCGGACGCGCGGUCCUGGCUGCGCACUUGCGCCCGAAGCCGAACUCCGUCGCCCUCCGGCCCAGGAAUAUAAGCAGCUUCCAGAGAUCGAAGGUCCUCAGCCUGGUAGUGUAAACUCGCGUCGGCCUCUCGCGAGUCGUGGGAAAUCGUCAACCAUGGAGUAGGCCUGAGGCAGUUCCUAAGGUAUGGUAGGAGUAGUAUCAGCAAAGGUUUGUGCCAAGCUUAGUUCCAUUUGGGUCAUCCCUGAAAAAAAAGUUUCCCUUUGGCGCCUGAAUUUUCGUUUAAUAAGCUGUAUUUUUUCUUCUCUUCAACAGGAGAGAUGCAAUUGUCUGUAUAAACUUUUCGUCUACUCAGUAUUGACGCAAACUCUCUCUCAGUUCAGAAUAAGUAGCCAUAAAAAUACAAGCAUUCGCAACUGUUCAAUAGCGCUGACCAACUAAGUACAAACCAACAAAUGCAUUCACACUGUCAGCUGUAAUAACAUUGAGAAGAACUCUCCCUCUGGCAAGACAUGCUAGUAACAUUACGUCAAUUAUUUAACUCAUUUACAACAGUUUACAUAUACAAUAACAGUAAAAACUUUUACAACACAUGCACCAGCGGUCUCCACCUAGUGGGGAUCAACAAUUGUGCACCCAAGUGUAAUUGCAAAGACUGGGUUGCUAUGACAGUAUUGUGGCAACAAGUUAUGCAGCGAUUGUCUUCCAGUAAAACUACCUAUUUUCUUACAUAAAAAAACUUUCAUCUUCCCCUUUUAAUAUUUUCCUGGAUAGGCAACAGGUAUGAAUUUUCAGGCAGCGAUACAGAAUCAGGCUAGAAACUGCAGUCUGUUACAGAACUUUGUACAGCAAGAUUUCUGCAGGAGCAGUUUACCAUGGGUUGCGCCAUCACUGCAGUAGCCCACUUCUCUUCCCCCAACCCAUGGCUACUAUGUACAGAAUUGCACAGCCGACAACGGUUCCCCAAGUGGUUUCCCAAAACAUCACAUUUGCUGCUGCUUUCUCUUCUGGGGUUUCAGGAUUGUAAAGCGAUAUACCAAUGUUCAUCCCGAAAAGACCAACAACGGCCACUCCAGCAGUAAUGACAACUGUCGCAGUUGAGAGCAUUACUCCCAUCUGUAGAAGCUGAUUUUGCUUGUCAUCCAACAUUAUGUUAAUAUAAUCCUCGGUAUCAUCAACAUACUCCCUCAGCUUCAAGCAAAGAUACAACAAGUAUAAGCUUAAGAAUUUGAUUUACAAUCCUUCUAGAUACUUUACAGCAAUGUCUAAUGGUUAGAAAGAAUAUUGCUAACAGCAAAAGUCACAUCAGAUAUAUCAUUCUAAAGAACAUCCAAUAAAAGAAAAUAAGGAAAAAAAUGAACUCAACCAAAACAAAACAUUGUCUUAUGAUAUAACCAUAAACUUCUAGGGUGCCCUACAUACAAAGAAUAUCAUGUUUAAAGGCGUAACUUCAGUAAGCCGACCAAAAUGAUUUCUUCUGUUAUUGAGAAUUUAGGCAUAACAUUUUAAAACUUUUACCACAGAUUUAUUUUAUGACAUACGGUAACAGCACUUUAUGCUCUCAACAUACAACCUAUAUCAUCACAAAAUUUGCAAUCCUGAUCAAAUACUUCCUGUUAACAAUAAUAAGUAGGCAGGAGCUCGACAAUAUUUGGAAUGAUGCAAGUAACACCAGAAACAGAAAAACUCUUACAUGAGAAAGUUUAUUAAGUGUGCCAUCAAUUUGCACAAAGUAGGCCUCUAAAAGCAUCUCCAACUCUUCAAUGUCCGGCUUGUAACCAUUAAAGCUACCAUUGCUUCCAUCUGCCUCACUUUUAUAAUCUCCAUCCCUGCACAUAAAUGAAAUGAUUGCAUAGAAUGAGCAUACCGAUACAUACAUAUAGUUGCAUACAAACUAGUCGGGGCUAUUUAUGGUCCAUGGAAAACCCCGAUUGGAUUACAUCUAAAAGAAGAGUAGAAAUAUCUUGCUUUGAUGACUUGCCUAUCCUCCUUCAACUUAUCCUCCUCCAACUGAGAUGGACUAUCAACCUCAACUCUGGGUUCAACUCUGGGUGAAGCAUCACUGAUAUCUUGUCCAGUAAGUUUUUCUGUCAGGUACAUUUCAGCCAUAUCCAUUUCGUCAUCCAGUAGAUGCUCAAGCUCAUCCCU
rnacentral:lncRNA from 1 species